GCCUGAUCCAGCCAUACCGCGUGCGUGAAGAAGGCCUUCGGGUUGUAAACCGCUUUUGUCAGGGAAGAAAUACUUCGGGCUAAUACCCUGUGGUGAUGACGGUACCUGAAGAAUAAGCACCGGCUAACUACGUGCCAGCAGCCGCGGUAAUA
rnacentral:rRNA from 1 species